AACGAACGCUGGCGGCAGGCCUAACACAUGCAAGUCGAGCGGACCUUUCGGGGUCAGCGGCGGACGGGUGAGUAACGCGUGGGAAUAUGCCCUUCUCUACGGAAUAGUCCUGGGAAACUGGGGGUAAUACCGUAUACGCCCUUUGGGGGAAAGAUUUAUCGGAGAAGGAUUAGCCCGCGUUGGAUUAGGUAGUUGGUGGGGUAAUGGCCUACCAAGCCGACGAUCCAUAGCUGGUUUGAGAGGAUGAUCAGCCACACUGGGACUGAGACACGGCCCAGACUCCUACGGGAGGCAGCAGUGGGGAAUCUUAGACAAUGGGGGCAACCCUGAUCUAGCCAUGCCGCGUGAGUGAUGAAGGCCUUAGGGUUGUAAAGCUCUUUCAGCUGGGAAGAUAAUGACGGUACCAGCAGAAGAAGCCCCGGCUAACUCCGUG
rnacentral:rRNA from 1 species